UCCCUGGAGGACUAGUGGUUAGGCCACAGCACUCUCAUCACUGAGGCCUGGGUUUGAUUCCCGGCCAGGAAA